AUGCACAAAUGUAUUGGCAGAGCUUGCUGUAAACCUCUGAAUAUGAUGAACUCAGUAUCUGGAUUUGUUAUACUUUCAGGUGGGACCCUCUUCUGACAUGUGAUCUACUGUGAGCUACUUUGACUCCUACAAUGACAAUGUUAUCACUGCCACAUCUCUGGGAACCAGUUAUCCACAAGAACACGGUGGAAGAGAGAGUCAACAGCCAUAUUUGCUGGAGUAGUGAACCAAAUUGCUUUGACUGGAACCAUUACUCACUUGCACCUUUGAUGGCAGCAGCCAGGAAAUUUGAAGAUAGUCAUGCCUAUUAGAUAUUUUGAAGAUGCAGAUAGCUGUGUCACCAUGGAAGAGAUGAAGAGAACUUUGCUGUAGGACAUCACAAGUAUCUCUGGAUCAUUCUCCUUCUCAGUCUUUAUUAACAAUGGAACAUGUCCAAAUGCUAUAACAAGUCUUUGCAAAUGUAUAAUAAACUGUUUAGGAAAGUUCAUGCCAUGAACAGAACUGUGUAAUACUCUCAUU
rnacentral:lncRNA from 1 species